UACGUAGGUCCCGAGCGUUGUCCGGAUUUAUUGGGCGUAAAGCGAGCGCAGGUGGUUUAUUAAGUCUGGUGUAAAAGGCAGUGGCUCAACCAUUGUAUGCAUUGGAAACUGGUAGACUUGAGUGCAGGAGAGGAGAGUGGAAUUCCAUGUGUAGCGGUGAAAUGCGUAGAUAUAUGGAGGAACACCGGUGGCGAAAGCGGCUCUCAGGCCUGUAACUGACACUGAGGCUCGAAAGCGUGGGGAGCAAACAGG
rnacentral:rRNA from 1 species